CCUACGGGAGGCAGCAGCCGCGGUAAUAUUGGACAAUGGGGGCAACCCUGAUCCAGCAAUGCCGCGUGAGUGAGGAAGGCCUUAGGGUUGUAAAGCUCUUUCGGCGGGGACGAUGAUGACGGUACCCGCAGAAGAAGCCCCGGCUAACUUCGUGCCAGCAGCCGCGGUAAU
rnacentral:rRNA from 1 species